CAUUGUAAAAUAAAGUUAAUGUUAAAUUAAUUAAUUUUCAUUUCUGGAAAAAGAAAAUAGGAGUAACUUCUGUAAUGAAAAAUGUCAUUAAAUCAGGAGUCUGUUUUCAGUAUUUAAACAUCAAAAUCAUGAUGCUUAAUCAUGAUGAUAUAAACUUUCAAUAAUAUAAUUGAACAGAGCUACAAUUCGGUUUAUGCAUGAAUGAAGAAAAUAUGUUUGCAUCCCAGGAGCUCUACUAGAAUGUUAUAGAGUGAAUGCCAAGGAAAACAUGAAGAAAAAAAAGUGAAAAAUAACACAGGUAAGACAAAUUAAUAAAUUAUUUUCAUUUACGUAUUAAACUGUUUAUUUGUGCUAUAUAAAUAAACUUGUAUUGUAUAUAUAAACUGUUGGUAAGACGACAAGAAAAGUUAUUUAGGAAAUAAAUUAUUUUAGUUAUUGCAUUUAAGACUGCUACACUACAUGGAGCUCUAAUAAAAAAGUAAUAUAGCCACACUGGAGAUAGGAUCCAAGCAGCUGUCGAUCAAAUGAGCACAUGACCGAAUGACGUCACUUUAGGGCACGCGGCAUGUAUCCAUGGCAACGCUCAGCCGCUAAUGACAGUUAACGGUCAUCUGGUGAUUUCCUCAGACACGGCUUUGAGUUUUCGCUUUUGUUUGGUCAAAAAAGGUUAAAAGACAAUGGGAAGAAAUGCCAUCGACUAACCACAGCUGACAACCAGAGACGCGGACACGCCAAAAAACACACACACACAAUCGCACACGAAAAUCCCUGCAACUUUACCAUUGUUCAAUUAAAAUAAAUCUAUUUUGCUUCA